UGAACCAGUGAUGAAAACUGGUGGCAUAGAAGUCAAGGAUGCUGAAUAAUGUGUGUCCAGAUCUCUGAGGUUCCA
rnacentral:snoRNA from 2 species